CCGAACCCGGAAGCUAAGCCUCUCAGCGCCGAUGGUACUGCAGGGGGGACCCUGUGGGAGAGUAGGACACCGCCGGAC
rnacentral:rRNA from 2 species